GUGACAGAGCAUCUCAGGGCUUGGGGGACGCCAGCCGGACUUUGAGAGGAGACAGAAGAGGUGCUUGCAGAGGUAUUUCACAAAGAUCAGGGUCUCGGCCCAAAAGUUGACUUCUGCUUUUUCAAACAGGUAGUCUUCUUCCACCUAAAUCAGAUGAAAAAGCCGAAAGUCAGUCUUACAGGGAAUGGUGACAAGCCCCAGUCCAGACCAAGCAGUACCCUGCCAGAUGCAAGAGGGGUUUCCCUUCCCCCACCUGACAGAGGGUGCACUCUUGCCUGUCAACAUCCAUGUACACACACCACUUGCAGCCUUGAAGGUCACCUUCUAUUUUCACUCACUGUAUUUCUCCACCAGAGAGGAAUUUUUUCCCCAGACUUAACAUGACCUUGGAUAAAGAUGUGUUUGUGGUUCAAAGUCAAGAUACUUUGGGGGAUGGAUGCUGAAAAGGGGACUUCAACAAGGGAGUGGGCUCUAGAGUUUAAGGUGCAGCUGGAAAUUGGAGAGGAGGGAGGAAAGGUCAUCUCUGCAGCAGGCCAGAGAGGAAGGAAUCUCCAAACACAGGACACUAGGCUGUGUCCUGUUUCUAUAACACUGUGAUUCUCAAGGUCCUUUUGUCAGACACUUACCAUGUCUCCAAAUUUCUCAUAAAGAGGGACAAUGCGUUUUGAACCCUUGGCCUGCUGGGGAUGCCAAGAAGGCCAGCUGAGUCAGAUGCUGGUGGCGAUCAAUUUCAGUUCUCAGGAUGCUUUUGCUGCUUGUCUUUGUCCUCAGUUUCCCUAUCUGUGACUGCACCCACCCUGGAGGGGGCUAAUAAUAGUUUUCUUCAAGCAGGAAGUUCCCAGCAAAGAUCCUAAUUCUCUGAAAAUGCUUCACCCUCAGACCUAACUUUGGGAAGCCCCAGGCUAACUCCAAUACUGACUAACAAGCAGUCUCCAUAAUAAAACUCUCCGCAUCCAGGGGCUUCUUUUUUUCUUUUCUUUUCUUUUCUUUUUUUUUUGAGAUGGAGUCUUGCUCUGUUGCCCAGGCUGGAGUGCAGUGGUGCAAUCUCGGCUCACUGCAACCUCCGCCUCCCAGGUUCACGCCAUUCUCCUGCCUCAGCCUCCCGAGUAGCUGGGACUACAGGCACCCACCACCAUGCCCGGCUAAUUUUUUGUAUUUUUAGUAGAGACGGGGUUUCACCGUGUUAGCCAGGAUGGUCUCGAUCUCCUGACCUCAUGAUCCGCCUGCCUUGGCCUCCCAAAGUGCUGGGAUUACAAGCAUGAGCCGCUGUGCCCGGCCAGGGGCUUCUUUCCGAGUUCUCUCCCCUGGCUAAGCUGGAGGCUGACCAUCAGCACCCCAGAAGUCAGCCUAAGAGUGUCCCCGUGUCCUCGGCAGCACCCAGUGGGUGACUUUCCUAGUGGUUCCUGCUCUGUGUCUAAGCAUGCAAAAGCCCAGCUGAGGCUGUAGGUGCUGCAUCUAGCGGGUUUAGGACACUCCAACCCUGCCUCCUACUCCCCUGACACCCCGGGAUCACCUGAUGCAUGCUCUCCACACAGGCCACGAGGUCAUCACUCUCUCCCAACAGCCAUCCCAGCAGGAUGGGCAGUCCAGGGGCCAACUGGUCCCACUGCUGGAGCAGAUCACACAGGACGGCCAGGGCCAGGGCCAGAGCGAUGGAGGCAUCCACCUGGCAGAAGGCAAACUCUGCAAAGACAGGAGAAAGUGUCACCAGAAGGAUCAGGAAGGCUUCCCUGUCCAGUGUCUCCUCUGCACAUCUGCCUGGAUUUGACUGGUUUGCCCUUUCCUUGGAAAGCAGAUCUCUUGGGCACAAGACACAUCCUAGAGCAGGGCAUCGGCAAGCUUUUCCUUAAAGGGCCAGAGAGUCAAUAUUUUAGACUUUGCAAGCCUAUACCUCCUCACCUCGGCUGAAAGCAGCCAUGGACAAUCUGUAAACAAAUGGUUGUGGCUGUGUUCCAAUAAAACUUUAUUUAUGGACACUGAAAUUUGAAUUUAAUGUGUCACAAAAUAUUAUUUUUUCCCAACCAAUUAAAAAUGUAAAAACCAUUGAUAGCUCAUGGGCUGUAAAAAGCAGGUGGUAGGCUGCAUUUGGCUCCUAUUUUGCUGCCCUCUGUCUCGGAGUUUUUUGUUUUUGGACCCUUGUUUUCCUGGGUGCUUGGAGGAAGGGCACUGAAAGAAUAGAAGGGUGCAGAAAGAGGAAGCAGGGGGCCUUGGGGAAACCAUUGCUUAUUUCAACAUUUGGCCUUAGACAAUCCUAAAUAUGGGUUUGGAGGGAGGCUCAGGGGUGUUGUCACUUCCCCUAACAACUCUGCCCCUCCCAUCCCAAACCUGGAGGGUGUCUGAAACACGGGACUGAAAGCCCACUGCACAAUGGACCUCUGUAGGCCCAUCUUGCACCAACUGACAUUGAAAGGCCUGUCUUUCAAUGAUGCAUUUCUAUUGAGCCCUGAUCACUCCCAAAUCCACAUCUCUAACUUGAGCACACAGACUUACCCUGACCAUCUGGCCCCCGAAAGACUUACUCGGCACACAGGCAGACGACCGAGAAUCUGCAACAGCAGGCUUAGUUCCCGUGGGUGUUGAACCAGGCUUACUGGGAUGGCCCCACUGAGGGCCUAGUGAGUGCCAGGCCCUGAUCAAAUGCUGUCUCCCCAGUCCUUCUAGCAUCCUAUGGGUUGGGUAUUAUGUAACCCACUUGCACACAUCAAGAAAUUACAGUUGGCAACAAGUUUCAUGGUGCAUGCAAAGCGCAGAUUUGGAGACCCAGCAUCAACAAUCCAGAGGUUUUGAUGGUGGGGUCAGCAGGGGUAGUGACCCUGCAGUAGGGCCAGGACUAUUCAGAGGUCACACAGCAGCACCUAGUUGCAUGUAAGCAGGUGAAAGUACUGAUCUCACCAUCUUGAGAGCUCCAGAUAAGUCCCCCAGGACACUUGCCCUUUAGUGUCCCCGUUCCCCAUGCUGCUUGCUCUGCAGCCUAGAACCCAGAUUUAAACCAGGAAACAGAAAAGGGGAGGGGGUGAAGGUGCAUUUUGGCUGUGGGUCUGAGCCAUGUGUUGACUGGGCCUCUACCUACAAUACAAUCUCCAUUUUUACCUCUACCUAACUCCUUUCUGCAGUUCUCAAUUGGCUGAGAAUCUGUAUAGAGAAGGGAUAAUUAAGUGGCCUUUUUCUUUCUUUUUUCCCUUCAACUUUUAUUGAUUGAUUGAGACAGAGUCUGUUGCCCAGGCUGGAGUACAGUGGCGUGAUCUUGGCUCACUGCAACCUCCGCCUCCUGGGUUCAAGCAAUUCUCCUGCCUUAGCCCCCAAGUAGCUGGGACUAUAGGCAUGUGCCACCACACCCAGAUAAUUUUGUUUUU
rnacentral:lncRNA from 10 species